UACGUAGGGGGCUAGCGUUGUCCGGAAUCAUUGGGCGUAAAGCGCGUGUAGGCGGUCCGGUAAGUCCGCUGUGAAAGUCGGGGGCUCAACCCUCGAAUGCCGGUGGAUACUGUCGGGCUAGAGUGCGGAAGAGGCGAGUGGAAUUCCUGGUGUAGAGGUGAAAUUCGUAGAUAUCAGGAGGAACACCGGUGGCGAAGGCGGCCACCUGGACGGUAACUGACGCUGAGGCGCGAAAGCGUGGGGAGCAAACAGG
rnacentral:rRNA from 1 species